UAUUUAUAUGAAACACCACAUCUUAUUGAUCAUUUAAUAAAUACGAAGUCAAUCCACACCGCUACAACCUUCUGAUAACUGGACAACCCCCUCAACCUCCUGAGCUACUGCUGCUACCUGGACUAAAACAUCUGCCAGCUCCUGGACUGUCUGUGGUGCAACGUGGUGUUGGUGGAUGGAGCGAGACAUGAUGUCCUAGAUGUGUUCAACUGGACUCGGGUCUGGGAAACGGGCGGAGCAGUCUAUAGCAUCAAUGCCUUGCUCUUGCAGAAACUGCUGACACACUUUAGCCAUGGGGUCCAACAUUGUCUCACAUUAGGAGGAACCCAGGGCCAACCGCAUCAGCAUGUGGUCUCACGGCAGUCUGACCACCUCUGGUGAGCACAACUCAGGUGUGUUCCCCCGUUUUCUUAUUUUAAUGCAUUUUUAAAGUAUUGGAUAUCGGCAGCCACUCAUAAUUAAGUGACAUGAACAGAAAAUGUGUUGGUAUCUAUGAACAUUUUGAUAAAAUAUUAAAUAAAUGUUCCGACCUUGAUGCCACGAGGGCCAGGAUAGCCGAUGGCUCCUUGAGGACCGUUGGGACCCUGGAGAUGAUCAGGAAGAUGAGUUAGAAGCAUAAGACAACUAAAACCACAAAGAUCUACUCUAAUUAUUCUAAAUACACACAGAAAAAAGUUUAGGAUGAAACAGAUUAGGUGGUUUAAAUCGACACCUACCUGGUUUCCUUUAGUGCCUGACGGACCCUCCUUUCCUGGGUGACCCUGAGAACAGAAAAUGGGGCUUGAGUCUCUGGACAAAUAAAAAUACAUAAAAUCAUAUUUAAUAUUUUAAAAGGGAAACUUACAGGAGGGCCGUCCGCUCCAGGCAUUCCUGGUAAACCCGGUUUUCCAGUGGGACCCUAGAAAGAAGCACAAAGUGGUCAUGAGCUUAAUCCGAGUACCGUAUUUUCCGGACUAUAAGCCGCUACUUUUUCCCCACGCUUUGAACCCUGUGGCUUAUAAUGAGGUGCGGCUUUACUGAAGAUUUUCCUUCACCUGCCACUAGGGGGCGCUUUAACAGGAAGUGAAACAGGUGGAAGUCAAAAGUGGAAAUCGAGGAAAGUGCUCAUUUUAAUUUAGCACAUGCAAGCAGCCGGCACCACGAAGAAUUUUUUUCACAUCCAUACCCCCUCAUCAUGGUAACUACACGUAUGAGUUCAUAUGAUGCUGCAUUUAAGCUGAAGGCCAUCAAUCUGGCAGUAAAGGAGGGAAACAGUGCUUGUAACUGCAGUUGCUGUUUAUUUCUUCAUUUAUUUAUUUUCCCAUUUGUAAGACACUGGGUUAGUUGUGUUUCCUGUAAUUUUAUUUUGAAAAGCGACAUGAGCUGCUCUGCCAGCCACACCCUUGAUUUGAUGGAUACAAGCCAGGUGUGAGGAACACAGAACCUGGAUGAAGUGCUAACAAGCAGACAGCUAAUGGACUGCUAAAGAACUAACUAGUAAAAGGACUUAAAGGAAACUAGUAAAAGGACUUAAAGGAAGAUGGAUUCCCUUUGUGUUUUAAGCAAACAGCCAACGAGGUAUUUAUUUGUCUUUAUUUUAUUGCACAUUAUUGUAUAUGUUUUAAUUGUACUAUCCUGUAUUUAGUUUCACGGUUUAAGAGAGGUCUAAAGAAAGGAGGACAGAAGAGGUCCACAAUGAAAAGACGUCCAAUAAACCCGUAAAAGAAAUCACUUGCGUCUGUGUUGCUUGGAGGGAAUCAUAGUGAAACUCGUCUGUUGUCAGCAAACGCCAGUGAAGUAACAAGGACCAGAUGAUCUUCAUCUCUUGGACAACAGUGCAUGGACUGGCAGAUAAGUGGCCUAUUCACACAUAAUUGAAGAAGACAAUAAAGACUUUUGGUGGAAGACUCUUUUGCAACAAGAAACUUGGUUGAUGAAAAGAUUGCUGAUCCAAAUUGAUGUUACCAGUGAUUUGUUUGAGUACAUAUUGAACUGAAACUUGCUUUAUUGUUGCAUGUUAUCCAAAGGUCAAAGGAAAUGUAAUUUGUUGCAUAUUUAAUACUUGAAAGGUCAAGGUGUUUCAGUAGAGUGUAACAAUUGAGUUUGAAAUUCUAUGCAAGUUUAUUUCAUUCUUAAAAUCAACAUUUCCUAGCUAGAUAAUUGUUCAGCCAUGUCAGAAAGAAAUGAGCCUGCAGAUGAGGAUGAAGAUAGUGCAGAGCCACUGCGAGAGGAAGAGCAGCUGCUCAGACGUGGGGCACGCCAACGUACUCUAACAGAGAAGGGCAAGGCACUACAAGAAGAGAAAAUUAAAGCUCUUACACAAAGAUUUAACUACAUUUACAAAAAAUGGAAAGCACAUGUUAAAUUCUUUAAACAUUCGUCAAAACAGUCCUCAGAGCCUUUAUCAGAGGGUCUACUUAAUGAUAUCUUGGGGGAGGUUAAAGGGCUUUGUGCCGACAUCCAGCGUGUUUAUGAAGAUCUGCGCAAACUCUCAACUCCAGAUCAAGAAACACGGAGAAGAGUAGAUUUGUGUGUGGAGAUUUCAAACUUCAUCCUUUCUAAAGCUUCACGUCACCUGGAAGGACAAGCGCAGGAAGAGGAGCAGGUUUGGCCAGAAGCUGGCUCCUUUUGGAGCACAAGUAAAAGUGAAACAGAAUCCAUCACCUCCGUCAUGAAGAGCGCCACCUCUGAGCAUUCAAAAACUUCUUCAGUAAAGAGGCAAGAAGCAGCUGCGGACGCUGCAGCAAGCCAAGCUGUUCUAAAAGUGUUAAAGGAACAAGAAAGAGAACAGUUGGAAUUACAUCGCCUGGAAGCAGAAGCCAAGAAGAGGAUAGCAGCUCAAGAGGCAGCAGCUAAACAGCGGCGCUUAGAGCAAGAGGAAGAAGAGGUGAGGAGGAGAAAAAAGAAAGAAGAGGAAGAAGCUACAAUGACAGCUAAAGUAGAAGAAGAACACACAGCUCUACAAAUGGCUCUAGAAGAGAAACGAAGGAGAAUCAACCAUCUAGAAACCAUGAAAGAGCUCAGCGCUGCACAGGCAAGAAUGCAGGUAUACGAUCAAGGAUCUGACAUUAAGAAAGGGGUCAAGCGACCUAUAAGCCAUAAGAUGGCAGUACAUGUUAAGCCAUCAAGUCAAACAAGCUGUCAACAAUCAUCUAUACCCCUUGUUCCACAACAACCUCUGAGUUCUUCCUCAAACCAAGACACUGCAGGUUUAGUUAAGCUACUUGCAGAUGCUUUAAAUGCAAACAGAAUUCCACUACCCGAACCUUCAAUAUUCAGCGGGGAUCCGUUGAAAUACAGUGAUUGGAAGCUGUCGUUCCAAACCUUGAUUGAUCAAAAGAAUAUUCAGAAUAAAGAAAAGAUAUACUACCUUCGUAAAUAUGUUGGUGGACAAGUUAAAAACGCACUAGAUGGUUAUUUCCUGCUUGGAACCGAGUCUGCCUAUGUUUCAGCGUGGGAGAUCCUGGAGGAGAGAUAUGGAAACCCAUUUACAGUUGCAACAGCAUAUAGGGAUAAACUUCAAGCAUGGGCCAAGAUUGGACCUAAAGACAGCACCGAUCUAAGAGAGUUUGCUGAUUUUCUACGGAGCUGCGAAACCGCCAUGGCUCAUAUCAAGGCACUGGAGAUCCUAAAUGACUGCAGUGAAAACAGAAAGAUUCUGGCAAAGUUACCUGAUUGGUUAACUGCAAGAUGGAACCGAAAAGUGAUGGAAAUGGAAGAGGAGAAUGGCCAAUUCCCUUCUUUCAGUCAGUUUGUAAGAUUUCUGACCAGAGAAUCAAAAAUUGCCUGUAAUCCAAUAACAUCAUUGCAAUCAUUAAAGCUAAGUGAUAAAUCCAAACAACAAAAUGUCAAAGUCAAAACAUUAGUCACACGUUCUAAUGAAGAAACUAUCAACAUAUGUGUUUUUUGUAAGAAGCAUGGACAUACUUUGCACACAUGCAGAAAGUUUAUGCAAGAUGAAGUCUCAGACAGAGUUAAAUUUGUCAAGGCUGAAAAGUUGUGUUUUGGAUGCCUCAACUCAGGUCAUUUCUCAAAGAGCUGCAACUGUAGGAGUGUUUGUAAUAUAUGCAAUAAGCAACAUCCUACUUGUCUGCAUGAAGAGCGAGACAAAAGAGAACAAAGGGCAGCACAAGUUAAGCAAAGUCAAGUUCAUGAAACUUUUACUCAAGGAAAUAAUAAAGUCAACCCACAAACAAGGCUAGCAAGAGACAUUGUCACAGCUUCUACCUUCAAGGUCAAUCAAAUUGAAGCUACUUUCCAAACAGCUGCAAUAAUUCCAGUUUGGCUUUCCUAUGCUUCACAGCCAGUUCCGGAAGUGCUUGUUUAUGCACUACUAGAUUCUCAAAGUGACACAACAUUUGUGCUAAGCGAUGCAGCUGACUCUUUGGAGGCACCCAAGGAACAAGUGAAGUUGAAGCUUUCUACAAUGACAUCACAAACUACUACAGUAAGGUCUCAACGAGUAAAUAAUUUACGAGUUCGGGGUUUCUACUCAAAUAAAAUAAUCAAUUUACCACCAGCAUACACACGCGAUUUUAUUCCUGCCAACAGAGCUCACAUACCAACUGACAAAACUGCAGAGGCUUGGUCCCACCUAGAGCACCUGAAGUAUGACAUAGCACCCCUACAGGACUGUGAGGUAGGCCUGCUUAUUGGCUACAACUGCUCACAAGCCUUUCUACCAAGGGAAGUUGUGUCUGGUCAAGACAAUGAGCCCUUUGCUCAACGCACAGAUCUUGGAUGGAGCAUUGUUGGUCAUAGCAAUCCCUGUGUCAAGUAUGGAGAUGCAAUAGGAGUUAGUCAUCGUAUAGUUGUCCGUCAAGUGAAACCAAAGGUUGACUCUGCUCUCAAUCUAAAGGGUGAAGUUCACUAUGUGAACAGAUCAAAGGUUAAAGAAAGGAAAUCCAACUUGUUCUCAGGACCAACAUGUCUCUGGCAAAAUGAACUACCUGCUUCUAAAUACAAGAUAGAAGUACAAGAUGAUGAUCCUGAACUCCGCAGGGCUUCAGUGUUUAACACAAAGGCAAAGGAGAGCAGAUCACAUUUAGAGCGCUUUGAGAAGUUCUCUGACUGGUCAAGAUUAGUGAAAGCUGUUGCCAGAUUGAAGAGACGAGUCGCGGAACACAAAAGGUUGAAACAAAGAACCAAUGAGGGAACAAGCUUGGAGGAAAGAAAAGACGCAGAAAUUGCUAUUGUCAAGCAGGUUCAAAGGGAAGCAUUUCCAGAUGAGAUACAAAGCUUAAAGGCAAAGGAAGGUGUGGUUAAAACCAAGUACAGCAAGCUGAAAGGGUUAAAUCCCACCUUGGAUGAAGAUGGAGUUUUGAGAGUAGGAGGACGUUUAAAUCAAUCAGCGUUACAUCCUCACAUAAAACAUCCAGUAAUACUACCAAAGAACAGCCAUAUAUCCUCUCUGCUUGUCAAGCAUUUUCAUGAAAGGAUUCAUCAUCAGGGACGUGGAAUGACCGUAAAUGAACUCAGAGCAAAUGGAUGGUGGAUCCUAGGAAGCAGUGGCAUUGUAUCAUCACACAUCUUUAAAUGUGUUAAGUGUCGAAAGUACCGAAGAUGUACUGAAACCCAAAAGAUGGGUGACUUACCUCAAGACAGAAUGGAAACAAUGCCUCCAUUCACCUACACUGGCAUGGAUUGCUUUGGACCAAUCUAUGUAAAAGAGGGAAGAAAAGAGGUUAAAAGGUAUGGACUUCUACUCACCUGUUUAUGUUCAAGAGCCAUACACAUCGAAAUGCUUGACGAUAUGACCACUGACGCAUUCAUCAAUGCAUUAAGAGCCUUUAUUGCUAUAAGAGGAAAUGUCCGUCUACUUCGAUGUGACCAAGGAACCAAUUUCAUUGGUGCAAAAAGGGAGCUUGCAGAACUCAUAAAAGGAAUGGAAGAAGAAAGGGUCAAAACUCUAAAAUGUGAAUUCCUAAUGAAUCCCCCAGCAGCAAGCCACAUGGGUGGGAUCUGGGAACGACAGAUUAGGACUAUUCGAAGUGUUCUCACAAGCAUUCUGGACAAUUCAGCUCAAAGACUGGACAGUUCAUCUCUAAGAACUUUGUUUUAUGAAAUUAUGGCGAUUGUCAAUAGCCGACCGCUUACAGUUGAGAAUUUGAAUGAUCCAUCUGCACCUGAACCUUUAACUCCAAAUCACAUUCUUACAAUGAAGUCAACAAUUAUUUUUCCUCCACCUGGGCAGUUUGUCAAAGAAGACCUGUAUCUGAAAAAAAGGUGGCGCAGAGUCCAGUAUUUGGCCAAUGAAUUUUGGAUUCGUUGGAAAAGGGAAUAUCUGCUGAGUUUACAACAAAGACAAAAAUGGCAGAAAACCAGAAGAAACAUGAAGGUGAAUGACAUCGUGCUUUUACAGAACGAGCAGGCACCACGAAAUGAAUGGAAACUAGCCAGAAUAGCCGAGGUCUAUCCAGGGUUAGAUGAAAAAGUAAGAAAAGUAAGAUUGUUGGUUGGUGAUACCACAUUUGACGGAAAGGGUAAACCUACGACUAAAACAGUGUUCCUUGACAGACCUGUACAUAAACUUGUUACAUUGAUUGAAGCAAAUGAAAGUAAUUAAGUCUGACCAGCCCCUAAGUUUCCUUAGAAAUCCCACACUGGGUUUUGUGUGAUUUGGUGGGAGUGUAACUGCAGUUGCUGUUUAUUUCUUCAUUUAUUUAUUUUCCCAUUUGUAAGACACUGGGUUAGUUGUGUUUCCUGUAAUUUUAUUUUGAAAAGCGACAUGAGCUGCUCUGCCAGCCACACCCUUGAUUUGAUGGAUACAAGCCAGGUGUGAGGAACACAGAACCUGGAUGAAGUGCUAACAAGCAGACAGCUAAUGGACUGCUAAAGAACUAACUAGUAAAAGGACUUAAAGGAAACUAGUAAAAGGACUUAAAGGAAGAUGGAUUCCCUUUGUGUUUUAAGCAAACAGCCAACGAGUUUCACGGUUUAAGAGAGGUCUAAAGAAAGGAGGACAGAAGAGGUCCACAAUGAAAAGACGUCCAAUAAACCCGUAAAAGAAAUCACUUGCGUCUGUGUUGCUUGGAGG